rnacentral:rRNA from 1 species
AUUGAACGCUGGCGGCAGGCCUAACACAUGCAAGUCGAACGCGUGGCGGACGGGAGAGUAAUGUCUGGGAAACUGCCCGAUGGAGGGGGAUAACUACUGGAAACGGUAGCUAAUAACGCAUACCAUCGGAUGUGCCCAGAUGGGAUUGGCUGGAAGGUGGGGUAACGGUUCACCUAGGCGACGAACCCUAGCUGGUCUGAGAGGAUGAACAGCCACACUGGAACGGAGACACGGUCCAGACUCCUACGGGAGGCAGCAGUGGGGAAUAUGGCACAAUGGGCGCAAGCCUGAUGCAGCCAUGCCGCGUGUAUGAAGAAGGCCUUCGGGUUGUAAAGUACUUUCAGCGAGGAGGCGUUACUCGCAGAAGAAGCACCGGCUAACUCCGUGCCAGCAGCCGCGGUAAUAC